rnacentral:sRNA from 1 species
ACUUUGCGAAGUUGGGCCCUCGAUUGA